rnacentral:lncRNA from 1 species
GGUCUCUCUUUUUCCCAGGGUCGGGUGAUGGAGCUGUUGGGGAGGGAGCCCUGGCAGCCUGGUCCUUGUGGAGUUUGGUUCUGCGUGGGCAGCUGUGUGAACCUUGACCGCUUCAGACCAGCUUCACUGGGGUAGCCACUUCAAAGGGCCCAUGAGGAUGCCUGCCCCAGUCCCCAGCCCAUCCACCCUCACCCACAGCCCAUGCCCCAUGAGAGGGGACUGUGCCUGGAAAGGGCCUCUCUGGGAAAUGAUGUCUACCCCUCCAGGAUCAAGGGGUAGGGCAGUCGGGUUGCAGCUGGGGAGGAGAUGAAGGCAGGAAGUAUGCUAGGUCAGUGACCCAGGCAAAUAUUUGGCAGAUCAAUGCUCAAGGUUGACCUCAAGUGUUUACCACUGGGUCACCAGGAAGUGGCUUCUUGCCACUUUCACCCACGCCUCCCCUCAUGGCAGCCUUCAGGGAUGAGGGCUUUUCUGGCUGUGGUCAGGGGCUCACCUGUCCACCUAGCCCCCUGGCCUAGAGCGCCCUGCCUUGCCCACCUAACUGGAGGUGGUCUUGGGACACAUCAUUU